UCGGCAAUGGACGAAAGUCUGACCGAGCGACGCCGCGUGCGGGAUGAAGGCCCUCGGGUUGUAAACCGCUGUCAGUUAGGAGGAAAUGCAUAAGGGUUCUCUCUUAUGUUUGACCGAUUUUCAGAGGAAGGACGGGCUAAGUUCGUGCCAGCAGCCGCGGUAAGACGAACCGUCCAAACGUUAUUCGGUAUCACUGGGCUUAAAGCGUGCGUAGGCGGCUUGGUAGGUGAGAUGUGAAAGCCCACGGCUCAACCGUGGAACAGCGUCUCAAACCCCCAAGCUCGAGGAAGAUAGGGGUGAUGGGAACUUAUGGUGGAGCGGUGAAAUGCGUUGAUAUCAUAGGGAACACCGGUGGCGAAAGCGCAUCACUGGGUCUUUUCUGACGCUGAGGCACGAAAGCUAGGGUAGCGAACGGGAUUAGAUACCCCGGUAGUCCUAGCCGUAAACGAUGAGCACUAGGUUGAGGGGGUCACAUCCUCUCGGCCGUAGCGAAAGCGUUAAGUGCUCCGCCUGGGGAGUAUGGUCGCAAGGCUGAAACUCAAAGGAA
rnacentral:rRNA from 1 species